rnacentral:lncRNA from 1 species
AUUUUUACAAAAACAUUAGUCUAGAAAGAUGAUUUUCAAUAACUGCUAAAAGGCAUUGGACAUAAAUGUUACAAACAAUUUCACAAAUGAUAGAUGAAGCAAGUCAAUUUCCUGAACUAAAACAAUGAUUAUCAAGGCAGUUUUCAAAAUCUAGAUUUUUUGUCUUUGUUGUUAAAAAAACAACCCACUUUUUCAUCUAUGAUUCAAUCAUUCAAUGGUAAAAAAGUUCCCCAGACGGCUAUUACAGAACAAGUGCCAUUCCUGAUAAGUUUUUUAUGGUGUAAGUUUAAGGCAAUUCUCUAUAGAGGGGCAUAAAGGGUGGUAUCUGCAUGGAAGAACGCGAAAUAAAAUUGCUGUUUCACGAUGAGCGAGCAAUUAAAAAUUUCCUGCACAUUGAUCUUUUUACCGAUUUCACAAAACACGGUAAAUAAUGCAACUUUUUCACGGCUGCAGGUGAAAGAAAUUGGCAAAAAAAUUUCCCAAAAAAAUAACCCUUUAUGCCCUCCUCUAUAUUUUGGCUACAAUUACCUUGUUUUAUUGAUUGUUUAGAAAUUACAUACAAUUUUGUCCUCUCUUACCAAUUAAUCUGCUUGUCAGAACCAUACUUAACUACUCCUAAUAUUGAUCUGUUCUGGCUAUUCUUCAAUUCCCA